rnacentral:rRNA from 1 species
UGGGGAAUUUUGGACAAUGGGGGGAACCCUGAUCCAGCAACGCCGCGUGAAUGAAGAAGGCCUUCGGGUUGUAAAGUUCUUUUGUCAGGGAGCAAAGGGUGGAGGCUAAUACCUUCUACCGCUGAGAGUACCUGAAGAAUAAGCACCGGCUAACUACGUGCCAGCAGCCGCGGUAAUACGUAGGGUGCAAGCGUUAAUCGGAAUUACUGGGCGUAAAGCGUGCGCAGGCGGAUGAUUAAGUUAGGAGUGAAAUCCCCGGGCUCAACCUGGGAACUGCUUUUAAGACUGGUCAUCUAGAGUUUGUCAGAGGGGGUGGAAUUCCAAGUGUAGCAGUGAAAUGCGUAGAGAUUUGGAGGAACACCGAUGGCGAAGGCAGCCCCCUGGGAUAAAACUGACGCUCAU